rnacentral:rRNA from 1 species
CGUAGGGUGCGAGCGUUAAUCGGAAUUACUGGGCGUAAAGCGUGCGCAGGCGGUUUUGUAAGACAGAUGUGAAAUCCCCGGGCUCAACCUGGGACCUGCAUUUGUGACUGCAAGGCUAGAGUACGGUAGAGGGGGAUGGAAUUCCGCGUGUAGCAGUGAAAUGCGUAGAUAUGCGGAGGAACACCGAUGGCGAAGGCAAUCCCCUGGACCUGUACUGACGCUCAUGCACGAAAGCGUGGGGAGCAAACAGGAUUAGAUACCCUGGUAGUCCACGCCCUAAACGAUGUCAACUGGUUGUUGGUUCUUUACUGACUCAGUAACGAAGCUAACGCGUGAAGUUGACCGCCUGGGGAGUACGGCCGCAAGGUUG